AUUUACCGCCCUCAGGGCUUCUGCUUCCUCUUUUCGUCUCGCCACGGCUCCUUCGUUCCUUCUCCCCCGCUCGUUGCUAUAGGGUUUCCUCUGCAUCCACCGUGGUGACCCUGCCGCCGAAGCCGACCUCGUCCUCUAGCAGGGGAUUUCGAUUCCGUCUCUGAUGCGAGUGUCAAUUGCUGGCGUUGUUGCUGAUCCCACCUCCCACGUGGAAUUUGCACCGAACAUGACUUCAACGGUAGUACUUCAAAGUGACUCUCGCUACGGCCAAAGCCAAUCAGAUCUUGGAGAAUUUUUAUGGGCCAUCCGUGAGGAGACCUGCUUCUGCACCUGCAUCACUUCUCUGUCUCGGGUGCCUUUCCCUACUUUUUCUUCGAUGGAAAUGGGAAGCUUGUCUACUUCCUUUGUAGUACCUCUUAUAUUACUUUCUUUAUAUUGUUGCCUAUUGUCAUCUAUGAGGCUGUCAUGUCACUAUACCUCUAUGUUAUAGGUUGAGAUGGCCUGUAGUUGGUGAAAGGGUUUUGUUGCCAUCUGACAGCAAGUGCUACAGUGACUUAAGGACAAUUCAUACCUCUAAGAAGCAGAAGAGAAACUCUCUUACGUCCUCCUGUGAAUUUUGAGCUACUGAUGAUAAAAAUGUUAUUGUUCAGUGUCUCCAGGCCAGUAAGAAAGAGCGAGAGGAGUUCACGUUUGGACAUUGCGACAGCUCAACCUUGCAAAAACUCCAUUACCACUAGAUAAACUCUCUGGGCAUAAUUAUAAAUUUGUUUAAGUUGAGUUGCAUCAACAAGUCAUAGACCAAGUUUGAUCCGACACUGAUGUUCCAUGAAUUCAAAGUUCCACUAGAGCAAAUGGACAGUGCAAUUUCGUCAUGUUUAUUGGUAAGCCUUUCAUAGUUUGGUGGUCUUAGAUAUAUUGACAAUUUCUUUGGAGAUCUACAAUUUCUCCGCUUUUGUGAUCAAAAGUUGGUCCAAAUACGAUCCAGUAGUUUAAUUGAUGGCUGUAAUCCUGAUUGCGGAUAAGUUAUAAGACAAGAUAUUUGAAUUAUGUAGGACCAUAUGUUUUGUCGAGUUGGAAGCUUCUGAAUUUUGAGUUGGGUAGGGUUUUGAUCAA